rnacentral:rRNA from 1 species
UACGGGGGGAGCAAGCGUUGUUCGGAUUUACUGGGCGUAAAGGGCGCGUAGGCGGUCAGCACAAGUCAGUUGUGAAAUCUCCGGGCUUAACUCGGAAAGGUCAACUGAUACUGUGCGACUAGAGUGCAGAAGGGGCAAGCUGGAAUUCUCGGUGUAGCGGUGAAAUGCGUAGAUAUCGGGAGGAACACCGGUGGCGAAGGCGGGCG